CCUACGGGAGGCUGCAGUAGGGAAUUUUGCGCAAUGGGCGAAAGCCUGACGCAGCAACGCCGCGUGAUCGAGACGCCCUUCGGGGUGUAAAGAUCUGUCAGUGGGGACGAAACUUGACGGUACCCACAGAGGAAGCCCCGGCUAACUCCUUGCCAGCAGCCGCGGUAAUACGGGGGGUGAAAGCGUUGUCCGGAAUCAUUGGGCGUAAAGAGUUCGUAGGCGGUACGUAAAGUCUGGUGUUAAAGGCAGAGGCUCAACUUCUGUACGGCACUGGAUACUUGAGAGCUUGAAUGCGGUAGAGGAAAAGGGAAUUCCUGGUGUAGCGGUGAAAUGCGUAGAUAUCAGGAGGAACACCGGUGGCGGAAGCGCUUUACUGGGCCGUAAUUGACGCUGAGGAACGAAAGCGAGGGUAGCAAAUGGGAUUAGAUACCCCGGUAGUC
rnacentral:rRNA from 1 species